AGGGGGUUAGUGUAGUGGUUCGCACAACGGUCUUCGAAACCGUUAGGAUCAGUUCAAAUCUGGUACUCCCUG
rnacentral:tRNA from 1 species